rnacentral:misc_RNA from 1 species
CGCACAUUGCGCCUUUUGGUAUUCCAAAAGGCAUGCCUGUCUGAGCGUCAGUACAUACUCACCAAACACUUGGUGGUCCUGAGUCUCAUGAGAAGAGUUUCUCUGACUUGAAAUUCAUUGGCUAAACGACGCCGUUCUUUUAGUGUAAUAGGUCGUUCCAACUCGCUAAUGACGGUGGUUGAAUAGCCCAUGUUUUAUUAUUGAACUCUUGACCUCAGAUCAGGUAAGGAUACCCGCUGAACUUAA